CCUACGGGAGGCAGCAGUGGGGAAUAUUGGACAAUGGGCGAAAGCCUGAUCCAGCAAUGCCGCGUGUGUGAAGAAGGCCUGCGGGUUGUAAAGCACUUUCGGUAGGAAAGAAAAGACCGUCGCUAAUACCGGCGGUUCUUGACGUUACCUACAGAAGAAGCACCGGCUAAUUCCGUGCCAGCAGCCGCGGUAAUACGAAAGGUGCGAGCGUUAAUCGGAAUUACUGGGCGUAAAGCGCGUGUAGGCGGUCGGGCAAGUCAGAUGUGAAAGCCUUCCGCUUAACGGAAGAAGUGCAUUUGAAACUACCCGGCUGGAGUACGGGAGAGGAGAGUGGAAUUCCCGGUGUAGAGGUGAAAUUCGUAGAUAUCGGGAGGAACACCAGUGGCGAAGGCGGCUCUCUGGUCCGAUACUGACGCUGAGACGCGAAAGCGUGGGGAGCAAACAGGAUUAGAUACCCUGGUAGUCCACGCCGUAAACGAUGGGCACUAGGUGUAGGAGGUAUUGACCCCUUCUGUGCCGAAGUUAACGCAUUAAGUGCCCCGCCUGGGGAGUACGGCCGCAAGGCUAAAACUCAAAGGAAUUGACGG
rnacentral:rRNA from 1 species